rnacentral:ncRNA from 2 species
AUAAAUUAUUUGGGGUGGUCCGAAGAACAUCGGAUCUGAGAUUAAACCCAUUGAACCUGAUCCGGAUAAUGCCGGCGAAGGGAAAACCUGUAUCCGAGUU